GUUACAUAUAGAUUUUAUAUAUCAGGUAUGUAGUCUUCUCUUUGUGCCCGGCGCUUAAGGGCUGCAGUUUUUGGUAGCGGCAAGUUUGAGUAAAACUCACGUGUACAGUAUUUUGGCGGGACAAAUGCUACUGUACUAACAUUCGUGGACAUAUCACAGAAUCGUUUUGCGCGUUACCCCCUCCCCCCACCUAGAGGUUCACUCAAUGUUUAUUUUACUUUCUAUCGAAAACAAGUGUUAAGAUAAGCGUUUAAAAGUCAAACUUAACCAAGUCGUCAAUUUAAGUGUCUUUUGUACAUUUAUGUUCGUAGGUUUGAAUAUAUUCUGUCUAGAUUAGUUUAAAAAGAAUGCAACCUUCUCUGGCUACUAUUAGCCCUCUUGUAGAAUUGUGUUUCAACCGAUUACCCUCGCUUGCCUGACCCAUCACGGCUCUGAGAAAUAAAUGUAUGACUAAUGGACAUCAAUGUUAACCAGUUGUCCAUUUUGUGAGGUAUCCCUAACUAGCCAGUAACUUGUAAGCGGAUAAAAAAAUCAACGGCGUAAUUUGUUCGCGCUCGCUGGUUACUUUUGGAAACAACAUUGUUGAUAAUUAAUUUAGAAAGGUCUUUUAUACCGAUCUAGGUCACGAUAUGGACUUCGAUGUUAGCGUGGCAGAUUCAUACGUGAUUAUUCACCAGUGACUCAUGUUUGCUAUAAUUUCACACAUUUAUAAAUCACCUCACGUACCCCCCCCCCCCCGGUUGCGAACCACUGGCCUAGAGAAGCCAUUAGUGACAGACAUUACCAUCACAUCGACAGUGAGGAUGGCUUUAUGAGACCCAAGGCGACAUGGAAUGCACAAAAGACGUUUGAAAUGCCAAUGUGUUCUUUGCGCGGCAUUGACCUGCAAGGCUGUGAGCCUGAAAUCGGUGAAAUAAUGCAAAACGAUCCCACCCAGUUGUGUCGCGUCAUUGACAAUGACCCUGAAGAAGAAUGCAGUCGUGUAUUUUGACGGUACAAUAUAUGAAAUGCACAAUCGAUGAUUCAUCUAGAUGAAGGGUGAGCAGUCAGAUUCAUUCCCUCACCCAUGUUAACAAUUUUGGUCUACCGCACCGACUGUUUGCUCUCAUGUACACAGCGCACAGCGAAUGACUUGGUGUUUCUACUUUGGCAGUGGUACACAAGCACAACAACAAAUACAUGGACGCAUUCGUCAAUAACACUGGCUUCUUCCAGGAUAAAAUAUGGACAGUAAACCCUCUCAAACCACAAGGGUUAUGUUCUUGAAAACGCGCGCGAAUGUAGAAACCUUGUUGACCAGGAAAAAUGGGGUUGCGUUCCUGGCACGAGUGAACAUAGGGGGGAAUAGUAAAUGUUUAAUACCACUGACUACAAUAAAUAAUAAAAUAUGAAUGACAAUUCGUUUUUAUUACCUUUCAUGAUGAUUUGAUGACAAUGGAGAUGGUGAGGAAUUCAGGUGGACGACUCAUCGGGAGAUGCAGGUGUUUGAUAACAACAACGCACAGUUAUCAUUUUAGCACUCGAGAGCACGUCUGUGAUAGGCCGACAUUUUGGCGUGGACUGUGAGAUCCAUCAAGAAUGAGGCGAAUGCAAUCAGGGAAAGUGUUGCGGCUAUCGCCCCCCAGUGCUGUGUUCUCUUAUCAAUAACUAUCACAUUUUUACUGUGAACAAGAUUUCUACAUAUUCUUGGUUCUUUCGGUAAAGUCACGUUGAAGGGAAACAAUAAAAUAUAUAUAAAACAAUAAAAUUCUCGCGACGUUUCGACUGCAACACAAGGCUGUAACCCUCGUGAAUAGAGAAGGUUUACUAUAUUGGCAUAGUCACUCUGGUUUGUCAGUGCGUCGUCAACCGCGAGCCGGUGGGGAGUGUCAGGGAAAGCUGUCCCAGGUAGUCCAGGAAGCCGGUAACAUGACUUCUAUGAUUUCAUGGGUGCCACAUUUCUAUUUACAGCGAUGUUCAAUGUACUGCUGGAUCACGGCUUUCCUACUAGAGCUCCUUCUACUGGAGGCCCCUUCCACCAACAGUGACGACCAGGACCCCCCGGUGGCGGAGAGUCGAUCUGCACGAUCGUCGCCGGCGCGUGGAGCCACCGGCUCACCGACUACUCCCAGAACGCGUGCGGGAAGGGCAGCUGGGGUCUGCACCCAGCUGUGGCGCGGCGAGUGUGGUGGGAACUCAACACCAGCGGCGCCACUCGCCUACUUGGAACUGCGCGCAGGUCCUGGCGCUCCCCGGGGCAGCUGGCAUGGCUACAAUGCAACGCAAACUCGCAGGGAAGAAACAGGGUGUAGGUGGAUUCCUGCUCACGGCCACCAUCGGUGACAACUAUCUUUGCCAGCCACACGAUGGAGCUACGCGUGGGGGUGCACGACCUGCAGUGGCAGCCACAGCCUCGUGCCCGACCCCCCACGCAACGGUGAGAGGGACGCUGCCUUGCUCGCGACUCACGCGCUUGCUCACUCACCUUGGUCUGUCUCACUGUCACACUCACCUCUCUAGGGUUCCCUCUAGUUGAGGCCCUGCAGCCAGCAGUGGUUUCAGUCAUACAGUUCAGGAUUGUAUCUCAUCCUCCCUUAAACAAUGUGUCUAAUGCACUCUGCUUCCUGGUGUAGUGUUUAGUGAGUGCUGUGCGAGGGUUAAUUGAGUUUUGUUUUUUGUGCCCGCUAUGCCAUUAUAUUUGAUGAAGCACAUGAGUGGACACUGUACACCAAUAUUCAUUACGCUUGGGCUGCUGAGAAAGUUAGAACAAUUUACCUUAUUUAUAUGGGAACGUUUUAACCUCGGUGUAAUGAGCUAAGAUUGACAGUAAUCGUAAUGGAACAGCUGUACUUUCUGUACAGAAUUAAUCGUCAAUGUACUGUAUAUGUAAAUGUACAUUGUCAACAUCAGCCCUGGUAUCUGCACUGCUGAAUGAACAGAUCCCCAUGCCAUCGGCAUCCCUCAUUGCCCUGCGCGGUGCCACAA